AGGGCCGUGGCGCAGCGGUGGUCGCGCCCUCAUGGCAUAGGGGAGGACGCCGGUUCGCAUCCGGCCGGCCCUG
rnacentral:tRNA from 1 species